rnacentral:tRNA from 1 species
UUUAGAGAGACGGGAGAAGG